CAAAAAAUAGUUUUAAGUUUAAAAUAAUAAUUUUGGAAAUUAUAGAAAUACAAAUUAAGUAUUUUUUUGA
rnacentral:tRNA from 1 species